GUCUCAAUGUGGAAAAGUGAUUGCUGCCAAGUCUGAAGUUUGAGUCUGAGACCCACAUCAUGAGAAACCCAAGAGAUCCAAUUUCUGAAGCUCCUGCACACAGGUGGGCACCCUGCAGGAACAUCAGAAAUACUCCACUGGCUAAUCCACGUAGCCAACAGGUCGCUUCCUGAGAGGCGAGCUGGAGUGCUGCUUCAAUACGCAGCAGUGCGGGUUUAAGCGACGGCAUCCUCUCGGUUUAGCUGUGUGACCUUAAGCAACUGGCUCAGUCGCUCUGUGCUUCCACUCGCGCUGUGAAAUGAAAAUCCUUCCUACCAUCUUGGGGUGAGGGUUAAGUAUUGAAGCCUUUUGACCUAACUGAGGAAGUUCUCUAUAAACAGUAACUUUUGUCCUGGAGAUGUGGCUUGGUUGCAGAGCAUUUUAUCUGACGUGCGCAAGGUUCUGGGUUCAAUCUCCAGCAUGAUAAAUAAACGAGUAAGUAACUUAUAUUCUUUGAGUAGUCUUUGGGAAGAAUUUAGGUAUUAGAGAUGUCGUUGACAUCUUGGCCCAGGCUGUUCAUGCCCACGCUGGCGUUCAGGUGUAUGGAGAUCACCCAUCCAUCCUAGUACCAUCAAGCCACUUCUCUGUGACCUCAAAGUCACCGUCUGUAAUGUGGGGGGUGGUGCUCAUAAUCCCAGCUCUCAAACCUCUCACCUUCUUUGAAAUAAUUUCUUGCCUUUUAAAUCUCAGACAACUGUCUACACACCAGCAGGGGACAGCAAUCUAGACAUCUGUUCUCUCCAAGGACGCCUCCGCUCAGGUGGCAGCGGCAGAAAUGCCCACUAGGGGGCGCGUGCGCUCUCUUCUCAGGCCGGGCUGGGGAGGGAAGGCGAGCUGGGAACCUUCUGGGCCCAUCUGUGUGUAUCAGCACAGGCAGACCUGCCACUGCCCAGCUCAAGGCUGAAUUUUGUUCACAUUAAACCUGACAAAUCUGAGGUUAGAGGAAUUAGUUAACUCACCCAGGAUCUUAGAGCUAAGAGGAACCAUGGUGCCUCUCUUGGCAGUCUUUAGGACCAGGGAAGGACACCCCUGGAUUUUGCCUGCAAUGUGGGUACCCCCAAAUAGGCACGGGUGUGGGGCUGUUACCCAGUUUGCCCCCGAGAAUAUGGAUGCCGGGCGGUGGUGCUCUGUGAGGUUUGGGACAUGGCAGUAGCUAGCUUCUCUGAAACAAAAUGCAUAGUCCUAAGAAAGGUCUGUACAAGCCGAGCCUGGUGGCGCACGCCUUUAAUCCCAGCACUUGGGAGGCAGAGGCAGGCAGAUUUCUGAGUUCGAGGCCAGCCUGGUCUACAGAGUGAGUUCCAGGACAGCCAGGGCUAGACUGGGAAACCCUGUCUCGAAAAACAAAAACAAACCCAAACCAAAAAAAGGUUCUGUACGAAAGAAGUGGGUGUGCUUGACUUUGCUGAAGCUGCUCGGUGUCAGCUGGACCUGCUAGACACCCUGUUAAAGACACAUGAGAUGUGCAAACGAUCAGUUUGACUUAUGCUCUGGCAGAGUAAGGAAUGCGCUGAAAAUAAGGAAGUGGGGCAUCUUGUGUUUGAAUGACAGCCUGACGUCACUGUUUCAGAAACAAGAGUUUCUACACUUCACUACAUAGCCCUUGCUGGCCUGGGACUCACGAUGUAGCCCAAGGUGGUCUCAAACUUGUAAUAGUCCUCCUGCCUCUAGCACCUAAGUGCUAAGGUUACAGCUGUGUAACACCAGACUAAAAUGGUUGUUUUACACUGCUACUUUUGGGGUGAUUUGUGAAACAGCAAAGAUAACUCAAACAUCAUUUAACUGAACUGAUACUACGUGAUAGACACCAAAGUAAGGUACUGUGUGUUUUCUCUCCCAGUCUCCGGUUUUGAAGAAGGGUCUCCCAUAUCCUAGGUGGCUUCAAACUUAUUGAGUACUUGAGGAUGUCCUUGAAGUACUUAGUGCAGCACCGUGCCUGAUUUUCAAACCCUGAUGUCUCAAUAAUCUUGCAUUGCACAUUCAUGGAGAAUGACAACUCAGAUUAGCAGCGGACACACUGAGAGAUGCAAUCAAUGGGGGCACUGAGACGGCUCAGCACUUAAGAGGACUUGCAGAGGAUCUGAGUUCAGUUUCCAGCACCCACAUGGCCAAUCACUGCUUAAAGCUCCACCUCUAAGGGAUAUAAUGCCCUGGUCUGGUCUCCAGGAGCACUCCAUGCACAUACAUACAUACAUACAUACAUACAUACAUACAUACAUACAAGCAACACUCAUAUGCAUAAUAUAAAAAUAAAUCUUAAAACAUAUUCAAAGCCACAUAAGGAGACCUACUCUUCAUCACCAAAGCCUUUAUUGAUAAGGAAAGUAGGAACCUACAGACUGUGCUAAAAAUCAAACGGGUAGUGGAAGACUGGCUGGUGGCCUUGAGUGGUGUACAAUAAUAAAAACAAAAGAAGAGCUACGGACAAUGGAAAAUGUCCCUGAGAAUAUGCUGUCCCUUGGGCUUCAGUCUUGCCACAGCUAUGAGACUGGAAGGGAAAUGCUUUCAUUUCAUUAACACCUUUACAUGGCAGUGAGCAAGGCUCGAGCGCCAGUUUCCUCCGACCCCACCCCCACCCGCCACCUUAGCCUUUCCUAAUAGCAUCCAAGGAUAGGGCACCUACUGUGUGUCUGACAGAGUGUCAGGUAGUCCAUCUGUCAGGUAAGUGUUUCUCGUAUCCACGAGGGUUUGAGUUUACAAACCUGGCACACCCAUGUGUUCCCUUUCUGCCAUCACAGGCCCUUUUCCUGGGGAGCGACGGAGCCAAGUCAAUCAACAAACAAUCGACUGUAUGUCAGGCUCCGCCUAUGUACCUGGGACAUCAUGACCCUCCUUGCCUCCUCCUCUGCUUGCCUACCUUCCUCUUGCCUUCUCUGAUGACGCUUUUCACAUGUUGCCGUAUCUUGAGUCUCCAAACUCUUGCAGACAAAGGAUCCAAGUAUGACACAAGGCAGAUCAGUCGAGGGAUAGAUGAACCAAAGAAUGAAUGAGAGGACGGGGUGGGUAUAUACAUGUGACUUUCCCCAGCGACACAUAAAAAAACCAACCCAUGUAUUCACUCCAGAGAGGACACGGACACACCAAAGGAAGGACUCUUCAGUUCAAGUCCAGCGUGGUCAACCAGUGGGUUUACUGGGGUUACUUAAAAGCGAUACAAGCAGCUACAUCACCAGAAAGCCCUCUGGGCAAACUACACUACCCGAUGUCCAACGUCCAACCUCAGUUCACCCCUUACAUAAUCUCAGGAUGGAGAAGGCUCAGGAGCCUUGAGUCUUCCCACUCUCUCCACAAAGGAGUGGCUCAUGUGUGGGAUUUCAUCUUCUAUCCAGGAUGUCAAUAGUAAUUUCCAGAUCGGAGGAAACAGCUAUAGUACAGUGAGUACAUGGGCAAAUGGAUGGGUAGCUGUGUGUGUGUGUGUGUGUGUGUGUGUGUGUGUGUGUGUGUGUGUGUUUGGGAGUAGGUAAAUUAAAGGGUGGAUGAGAAUUGGUUUUCACUUAGUCCUCUGAAUGGAGCAUCAAAUCUAGACACCCAGCACAGGCCUGUCUGAGUCUUGUGGUCUAGCCAAAUUCAAAUAUAAAACUAGCCAUCUACCCUGCCAUGCAAUUUGGGGGAAAGAGAGCCUAGCAACAAGUGUAGCAGAGGUGAAAAUCCCCAUGGAAACAGAUACAGUGAACUUCCCUCGGGAGAAAGUGCUCUCAGUGACUCUGGGGACACAGUCGCAGAACACCAUGCAAAAGGGCCAAGGACUCUUCCCGACGUACAGUCUACUUUAAGAGGCUUUUGGUCCAUCUGAGGCCGUUUACUUUUGAGAAAUGUGAGAUUUGAACAGAACCAGAAUGGAGCCAAGGCAACUAAAGGGCAUCAGAGGAAAGCUGGCCACUUAGUCAUUGCCCCACCGUGGCAAUGCCUCCUUUGCAGAAGCUAUAGAGAGCCGAGAUACCUGGGAUAGGAACCUGGAAUUUUCUAGACCACAAUUCUCAAUCCAGUUGUGAGAUGAGAGACACAUUUUCAACGAGUCAGGCUCAACCACUGGGUACUUCACACCACACAGAGAGCACAGUAGUCUUUGAAACGUGGGUUCUGUUUUCUAGAUCUACUUGUGCAUGACUGUACUGUGGGCAGCCGGGUGUAAAAUGUACUUCUGUUGUUCAUCAUUGUCAGAAAGCUUGGCACUGGGAUGGGCAUACCCCGUCUCAGCCAGAAUCUACUGAAGUAAGUGCAUUCCUGACGAACUAGCAGCUAGGAAUAGCUAACCAAAUGGGAUGAAAUUACAGAGCAGUUUCUUUUGCCCAGUGGGGUGGGGAGUAGGGGAAGUCUCUCUCUUUCUGGGACAUUUUUGAAGCCCGAGUAUUAGUUGGAUUGCGGGCAUUGGGAGUUGACGGAUCUGCAAGCUCACACUCAGCGGAGGAACUAGUACACACAGCGGACAAUCACAGCAGCACACAACCCUGUCUCACAGACACAGCUAUGUGGCUAGCUGUCGUUUGCUACUCGGUGGGUUCUUCUUUUACCGUUCUCCAUCUUCGCUUCCACCCUUUCAACCCUCUAACACUAGAUAAGAGAAAGGACAGCGAGGAAAGAAAAGAUCCCUAAGUAAGUCAGAGACUGGACGACUUCCUGCUGGUUAAUGGUGUCCAGUGUGUUCUUCGCUGUCAGAUUAUCUCAUUUGUAGUUGUUUCUUCUUUGCACCUGACUACUUAACCCACCCCACCUCUGGGGGCCCUAAAAUUUAUAUACCCUUUGAGGAGUCCCCAGAAUUCCAAUUGUCACACAAUCGCAGAAACUAUCUGCAGCUGGCAAAACUGACUGACAGCCCCUCCCCAACAAGAGCACGAGGCAAAUCAUAGUCAGCUAAUGUGGACAAUCUGAAGCAGCCCCGUAUCCCACACCUGGGAUGAAAAUGAAAAUGUAUUUUUAUAGUAUUGUUUUUGUUUUUCUUUUUUUUUUUUUUUUAAAGAAACCAAAAUUCCACACAGCUAGUGUUGCUUUCAUUAUCUGGUUUAUUUUACUACCUCUGAGGAAAUAGUCAAAGCAACAGAGUUUACUCUAGGUGCAGAAAAACUAAACUCAACAGGUUUGCGUAAGGAAUUAGCUCUGUAGCUUCGGGAUACUGGUGCAGCAAAAGAAGUGGAAAGGACCCGACAGGAUGCAAACCUUGGAGCUUCUAUCACAACAGUCGUGCUCAGGGGCUGUGUGUGGUGUGCUCAGCACUGGGGGCAGGCAGGCAGGGUGGGAAACUUUAGUGCUGACCCCUUAGGGAAGCCAAGUACAGUGGAUCACACAAAGUUGUGGAAAAUGUUGGUGCAACGAACAAUUGCGAUCAGAAAGUACUUCUAGUAAGUACCACCAUUUUUCCUGCCUACAAACACAAUGAGCUAGUUUGAAAGUUUCAGUGUCUGUGAAUUCUACCAAAUGCCACUGGUUCUACCAGUAUUUAUAACCCAAGUUCAAGGCCACCUGAUCCCCAGAGUCGGACCAGUCUCAGAAGUGGCUUCACACACUGGCUGAAUGAGUUGCUGUUGUUUCUUUCCCUGUUUGAGCAACAGGGUCAAAAGUAGCCCAAGCUUCAAGCUUGAAGUCCCAACUCACACCUCUGCAGUGCCUGGGUGCCUCCACCUCACUGUAGGCAGUACUGGGAAUCGAAUCCAGGGCCCCUCUCAUGUAAGCUGGGCUAACACUCCAGCCACUACAUCAUACCCACCUACCAGUACUCGACCAUCCACCAGCUCCCGGGAAAAUGGGUGGAAAGAAUCCUGUUGUGAUGUGGAAAUUUUUGAGACAGGGUCUCACUAUGCAGCCCUGACCUAGAACUUGCUGUAUAGACCAGGUUGGCCUCAAACAUUGAGAAAGAUGCACCAGUUGGUAUUAACGGUGAGCACCACCGUGCGCAGCUAUUACUGUACUUUCAAUCACUGUUUCUCAACACUCUGUUGCUCAUAAGGAGUGCACUUCAUACUUAGAAUUGAAUCCCUUCCACAGUCUUCGCAGGGUAAGGACAAUUUGCCAGGCACUGGACACAGAUGGAUAAUCAGCAAUACCGGGCCUGCCUUCAAUGAGCCCCAAUCUAGAACUGCAUCUCCUCCGGGUGGUACCCACUUCCACUCCCACCUGUCGUUUUCUGUGAUGCUAUGAGGGCCGAGAGCCUAUGUCUCAUGCCCAUGACUGCGGGGAAGUAGGGUCCUUCCCGCCUGCUGGGGCAGAUACACUACCUCUCACCUUGUCAUUUUCUGUCCUUCAGUGGCUUACAACAGGAACAAGGCAGCUGAUUCGGGGCCCUUCCCUGCCUCUUUAAACAUAAUACGGUAGGUUUUUUUGUUUUGUUUUGUUCUUUCCCCAACUAGGCAGCUUAUUUAUUACCCACGGACCAUUUGAGGAUGCCCACAGCUGGUGACAUGCUGGAAGCUCCACUUGACUAUGCCCCCAGAUGGCCACCUAGUGAGUUUCCUGCUUAGGAAAGCUGUCAAGGCUGGUUUACUCCAUCCUACAGCAGACACCUGAACCCUAUGAAGUGGACACAAAUUCCAAUUCCGAAAACACACAGAUACACAACAAGAUUAGAAGACGUCUGUCUACAGGAAGCAUUAAUUCUACUUCUUCGAUUUUACAGUUGCAUUACAUGUUAUGAAACCUAUUUAAAAACAAGUGUGAAAAGCAGUCCAUGUUCCUAUAAAAACGGAGAGGAACGUCCUGGCAUGCCUGGAGAGACGGAGGUUGCUUAAAAGAACAUGCUGUAGGCUUUGGCAUGGGCCAGAAAAACAAAGCGUUGGAGGUUAAAGAUUCUUGGAUUAGUUCUGCAAGUAUGUUUAACUUCCUCUUGCAGGCCACAGUUGGUGAAUCACUUAAGGGCGUGGCUUACACAGGACAGAGCAUGUUAACCAGCACACCUAGAAGACAAAUAGAAACUUAGGCCAGCAAGGAGCCUGGCUUGCAUGUACUCGGGACGAGCAGACACAAGAGCAGCUACUGAGCCAGCGCAUCCGUCCGCAUCCCUCCAGUCUAUCCGAAUGAGGGCUUGCUUCCUGUCAUCUUCAGAUACGCAUUUCAAGUUACAGUAUGGAUGGAAUGGAGCAUUCUGAAAGAACUUCUACAAUAUGUGAAAGAUUUCCUGAGCUUACUAUAGUAAAAGCAAAUGGCUGAGUUCUGGAACACUUAAGAGAGGGUUAGGACCUUGAGAAGACUAGAGAGUAGUUCACCCCUUCUAUCACUCGAAGACACAGCAACUUCACGAGAUGACAUCUGUAAACAAGGCAACAACUUCACAAGAUGACAUCUGUAAACAAGGCAACAACGGCCCCACCCGACACUGAGUGCCUUGAUCUUAGGGUUCUCACAUCUGGAACUGUGGUAACAACACUGCUGUUUUUAAACUAUCCAGUCGAUGGUUAUGUUACUAGAGACACAUCUGUGGUGGGUACUGUACUUUCUCUUCCCAGUGCUCAUGUGAGCAAACAGGUAUUGUGAGAUACCUGGAAGGUAGCCAAUCAGAGGGCCUUACGAACUGGAGCGUCAGGCGGCUGGGGACACAGUGUAACUCAGCUGAAGGAGAGCCUUUGGCCACUUCUUUCCUUACUGGCUCAAGGCUGUUCCGUGAGCCAUUAACUUCAGGCAACCCCGACUAUCCAGGAAUAGCCUAAGGCAGGGGUUGCACUAUCAGAUUUAAAAAGGUCAUAAAGUCACUAGUUACCUGUCAGCCUUUGCACUGAUGCCAGAGUCAGGAUUUCUAACCCAACCACAUCAAAAAGCAUGUCAAGUCCCUUGUCUGGGAAACCAGGGUUCAGAAAAAAAAUCCGUGUUUCAGGAGCCAGCUACCACAUCACCACUGAGAUUGGUUUUGGCUCACAUGGGCAAGGCAGGGAACUGGUUAACCUAAUAACUCCCACGUAGCUCCAGUUUCUCUGUAAACCUCAGGUGGUGAAUUAAGAUCCAACCUUACUGGGCAGCAUGGCUUAGGGAAGCCCUGGGGGGACCUACUGGGAACCCAUUCCCCUUUGCUCCUGGCCAGCAAUAGCAGCUUAAAUCCCUGUAACUGUGGUUUUAUAAAGCUGCUGGCCCAGCCUACGGCAUCUUUUUUUUUUUUUUUUGGUCAUAUAUUGUGUCAAAUGAACACCAAGGUGUUGCUGAGAAUCUGCAGUGUUUGAAGAAGCCCACAAUUGAAGCAGUAUCAUCUUUAUAGUGAAAGAUUUUAGGGGUUAAAGUAUAUGAACUAUACUGUAAGGACACAGGUAAAGUGGGAACAUCACUUAGGAAGCCCUUAAGAGGGAAGAUCCUUACGAGAGCAUGCUGCUUCCUUCCUUUCCCUCUUUCAACGAUGACUUAAUGGGUCCUCACUCUGUGCUAGGGAAAAGUGAGUUGUGCUAAGCCCCUGAUCUCACGUGGAAAUCAAAACAGAGGCUUUUUGGGGCUGGAGAGAUGGCUCAGCAGGUAAAGGCACUUUGCUGUCAAGUCUGAUGUCUGAGUUCAAUCCCUGUAACCCACUUUCAUAGGUUGUCCUCUGACUGCCAUAUGCACACUUUGGAAUACACACACACACACACACACACACACACACACACACACACACACACACACGCGAUGAAUGAAUAUUUAAGUUACACAGUAAAGGACACUCUUAAAGUAAUGUCAGGUUAUGUUAUGUGGCCAGUGAGCAACAUAACAGGAAAUGAAGGAGCAUGCUCUAUGCUGUAGUGGUGCAGGAUUUGAAGCAGACCUCUGAGCACGUGGUUAUGAGAGGUUGGCUUCUCAGGGAGAGGUAACUAGCCGGGGCUGUCACAGUGACCAACCACUUCUACAGAAGCAUGUCAUGCAUUGUGUAGUCUGCUAUUGCUGCAGGCAGAUCAAGCACACGCUUAUUACUGGAGGUCCUGACAGACUGUCGGUGGACCUGCAUUCCUUCAGCAAGCUUUAGGAGAUGGGCUUCCUUCUCCUCUCUGGUUUCUAGGCUACAGGCAUUCUUCCCUCUGUCUGUCUGUCUGUCUGUCUAUAGGAAAGACCUAGAAGUAGACCCAACAAAGCUAUGUAUGGCCAUCUAAUUCCUGACAACGGCAAAAUACCAGCAGAAAAACUGGUAGCCUAGUCAGCAAACUAGCAUGUCCAAAUUGACAUCUGUGGAAGAUUCAAAUUAGGAAGUUAUUGUUCACCUUGUACAAAAAAUGCCAGCACUUCAGAAGCAGAGAAGGUUGGAUCUCCAAGUCUGAGGUCUAUCUAUAUACUAUCUCUGAGCCUUGACUAUAAACUAAGUUCCAGAAUAAACAGGGUUAUGAAUUCAUUCUGUCUCAAAAACCCCAAACCUAAACAAAAACCAAAAUCCUCACCAUGGAAACCUCUGCCUCUACCAUAAACCUCUCUGACUUGUACCUCUUUAAGAACCACCUGCACAAUGCAGCCCUCAGGGCCACCUAAAUUACAAGGUAACAAGCAAACCACACCCUGGUAUGGAUGGUUCUCACCAGCUCAGUCCAUUAGAUGCAUACGUCCAUCCUGGGUGGCCUGGAAGAUCUGCUCUCCGAUGCCUUGCUCUGCAGCAUGCCACAGUGGAGGGAGCCUGAAUCCUUUUCCACUUCCCUCUAGAAUCAUCCCCAGAUCAUUCUUAGUUGUAUUGGCCUAGACUAGUCUUUAAAUCAGAGAUACCAGAAGAGCAAAGCAUGCCACAGGGAUAAUUUACACAGCAUCUGUCAUACAAUAAUCCCCACAGGAUGAAUUCAAAACUGAAUUAGGUGUCAGCAGAUAUGGAUUCAAUCAGAAAACCCAACGAAACAGCUCUGAGCAACUCUGCCCGCUACUUUGAACAUCCUAGCCAAAGGCUGCAGACUCUUCAAGGCUGGCCCACCUCUUCAUUCUCCCUUUAUGGGCCUGUUUUCCAAGUUUCUGUUAUAUGCAUGCAUCUGAACAAAAGCCACACAUAUCAUUCCUCAAACGGGGGGGGGGGGGCGGCGGGGGGGAGGGGGGGAAAUCUAGUGUCUAUCUCUGCCACCACACUCUUGGGGAGCCAAGUCUGGAUGAGAUGGGUAUUUUACAAGGGAGAGAACACUCCAGGCAGUUAUCUGAGCCCCAGGCUGUAAGGCCAGACAGACAGACAGACUAGAACACUAGCCCCCAAACCCAAGCUGGUCCCUGACCCAGUGCUUCAGCCACUUCUUCAGUGGAGAAUAUGAAACAGGAAGCUGAGAAUUGUUCAGUUUUCUGAUCGGAAAGCUCAGUUACCAGAGGUAUGAAAAUAAAGAGGUGGUUAUCACUCCCACAGAACUCAAGUGAGACUUGCCAAAGAACUGAAAACCAGUUGGCCCAAGUAUGUCACUUAUGUCAGGGAAAGUGUACCAAACUUUCACUCACAAAAACACAUCCAUAUUCAUCUGUCCUAAUCUGUACAAAUAUUCACUAGACGGCAGAGGGCUAUGACCUCAAUCCUUCCUCUUGAUUUAAAGAUGAGGCAGGAAUGGUCAGUAAUGGUCUCCAAUUUAGAAGACAACUGAAAAAGGCGGCUGGCACCAGAACACCUGGAGAUGCAACAUCUUUAAAAGCACAGUUGGGUUGCCUGGCGACUGAAACUUCUAACAGUAAGGGUGUGACCAGUGUGUUCUGACAUCUGCCAACGAGCAGACGGAAACAGGAGGAAGGGAAGAAGCCACAGAAGUGUGGUACAAAGAGCACGAGGCUAAAACACUGGUCUGACCGCACUGUGGGUGUCAGGCACAGGGCACAGCAUGAUGCAGAGAUUACAGUGAUGGGCACUGAGGAUCUCACGCAUCUAGUGCUGCCAAGACGUAGGAAAGAGUACUACUAUACCAUGGGGCUGGUAAUAUAGUGUUCUCUAACUUUGGCUGGUCCAUAACGAAGAGCAAGAAGCAGUGCUUAGGACAGUGCCCAUGCUACACUAAGUGUUCAAAUAGUGGGAAUACAACCAAACUGGAAAACCUGUCUUCCAUAGAUCAAACUUUAUCUUAAGAUAGUCACUAUACGCUAUGCUAUUAUCUACCUGCAAAUUAAAGAAAAUUUCAUCUCUAGUUGUAAAGAACCAAGAUGUCAUAGUCUUAUCAGAAUCUAAUCACAUAAUUAGAAAAUGACCAAAGGCUUAUACUAUCCUCCACAGUUGUCAUUAAAAUGAAGAAUAUUGUUUUAAAUUAUCACAUUUUAUAUCUUUUACCUGCAUGCCCUUUGCAGUUUAAAUUCUUUUCCUCUCAGGCUGGCCUUUAACUCACAGAAAGACACAGGCCUCUGCUGGGAGUGUAUCAUUUUAAAGACUUGCACUAUCACCCUCAGCUCGAAAAUAAGUUUUAUGGGCUGGAGAGCUAGCUCGGCAGUAGUAACGAACACUUGUGGGUCUUGUAGAGGACCUGAAUUCAAUUUCCAUCCCUCACAGGGGGGUUCACAACGACCGUAUCUGUAGUUCCAGGGGCUUCAGUGUCCUCCUUCAGCCUCUGCAGGCACCAAGCAUACAUAGUGCACAUGCAAGUGAAACACACACACAUAAAGAAUCUUUAAAAACAAACCACCUUUAGGUAAACAAAAAGGCAGCAGGAACGCUGUAUACAGAGAACAUGCCCUCCCUUGGAAUGCAGAGAUAAACCACAAUCUGAAUGACCUGGAACACAACUUUUAUCUCUAAGGAGUUGUUUUUUAAGAUGAAAAUGAGGGUUUGAAGUCAACAACUCUUAGCUCCUUCAAUUCGAGGACAUUUCUCCUUUCUGGUUCUAGGACAGUUAUUCCAAUUGCAGAGAAGUUCCCACCCAUGUGGCCCUCUUGUUCCACAGAAAGGAAACACAGUAUCAUUUUCAAAGUCAGAGAGCCACAGAACUGCAGAGGAUAAAAACUCUUUCAAAUAGCAGAAAGGUUGACAAAAAAAGAUAAAACUCAACCUCGGUAAAACCCAAAUGGAUUUUUAACCCAGUAGAAAAUCUACGUUGACAAAGCGUGCAAAACUUAGUUCAAAUAGCUGCAGCCUUUCUCCGAGGACCUUGGAAAAUGCUUAGUGGUUUGAGUGUUCACUGUUUGCCAUAAGGAGCAGUAAAUAAGGCAGGGAACGUGAAUGAGACACGCUUAGAAGCAGAACCUUCAGACACUAGGGAAAGUCUUCAAAAAGUAACAGAUUAAAAACCCUAUACAUUCAUAACAUGAAUUGCCUGACGGCUUUAACAAUAUUAGAGUUCGCUUCAGAAUAAACUACAACUGUAUUUUCAUGUCUCCAACCUUUUAUAGUUCCUGGAUUUUGCUACAAUUCUAAGUUUAAAUUUCCUAGGAAUGGAUACAGUGAGACAUUUUCCAAAUAACUUUUCAUGUAAAGCGAAACUUAUGGGGAAAAAAAAAUCACUUAGGAAAUCAAAUCUUAAAUAAUAAAAAUACUCUUAACUAUAUAGCAUUCACACAUCUGACUGUGGAUUCAAAAGUUUAUCUGAACAAAACCAUGCAAUUAAACUGCCUUCACUCAAAUGGUGUUGGAAGGUAACUACCCUACUUACUACCCACUGAUAAGUUAUGACAGCAUAUUUUAUAACCUGUCAUCCUAUUUCGUUUAGCCUCUACCACCAUUCCCAAGCUUCCCUCAAUGCCAGUGCCCCUGCAGGGUACCGAAUCAAACACCCUCUGAAGACUGACAAGGACGGUUAGAACAAGUAGACUCUUUCCCUACAAACCUAACAGUACACUCUAAAUUCCCUUUGUACACACACACACUUGGGCCAUUUACUUGCAGACAGUCAAACUAACUGCAACUGAAUCUAAGACAAGCAUUAGCAUAACACAAGUCAAUAAUGAAAUGUGGCUUCUCUGUGGAUGGCAAACUUACGGUUCUUUCUCACACUCAGUGAAACCCGCUAGUCACAAGGUGCCGUCCCCAUCUCCACGUGGACGCUCUUCAGAAGACAGAAUCUGUGGAGUUGGGGAUUACUGUGAUCUCUCACGGAUCACAGGGAAUGUUUCAAAGUCUAAGUGACUUCACUUGCACUCCGCAGCUACUGCUUACUUAGUUCUAUGUGCAAUGGUGAAGGAUGGGAAACUGCCAGGUACAGCACAGAAAGUCACCAGCCCACCAUCUGUCAGAAGAGGAGAGAAAAGAACAGGGCCAGUGUCUAAACCCUCAUCAGUCUGUUCACUCCACCUUGGUGCUUGGUCUAGUUUCUAGCUCAGGGGAAAUAGGAGUGUAGAACCACAGAGGAAGACAGCCAGCCAUAAAAACAAGUCGAAGCAGUUACAUUUUUAAUAGAUCGGGGGGGGGGGGGGGGGGCGGCGCAGAGGACAUGGGGUCAGGGAAGCAAAUGCAGAUAUACAAACAUGCCCCUGAGGAUUGCCAGAUGGCUCAGAGGGUACAAGCUACUGCAGCAUAGUUAAGAACCUGAGUCUCAUCUCAGGACCCACAUAGUAGAACUGACCCCUACAGAUUGUCCCUUAACCUCUACAGGCAUGCCAUGGGAAUAGGUGCACACACAAGUGAUAUAUUUUUUAAAGCAAAAAUAAAACUGACUUUUGUAUGUGUUAAUGUAAAACAUUAACUAGAAAAGUAAAAAUAAAAGCUGAAAAAAUUAUAACAUGCUGGGCUUGGUUGCUACACUAGGGACAUAUUUUAAAUUAUGGCUCUCAUAGACUAGCAGUAGAAAACUGCUCUGAAUUUCAAAUGUCCAAGUCCAGACAUGGAAAAGAUGGUCAGGUGACAUUACCAGGAUGGUUCCAAGUCACAACAACAACAACAACAACAACAAGAAGGCAGUUUGGUGUGAGCAAGUAGAAAAUAAAGUUUACCAUUCAAGGUUGCUUUUAGCAACAAACCUUGAGAGUAAGCAUGCUCAGAUGUACCCAGUGUUACUCCACUGCCACCAGCCAGAGCGCUUGUACUGAAACCGACUAGAAUAAGGAAGGUAACCGCUAGCUUUACACACCCACCUUGGGCUGGAGGGAGGGACAGCUUAUGGGUUAGAUCACUCACUGCCAAAGUUCUUCCAAAGGACUUGGGUUCAGUUCCCAGCAACCAUCACUAACUCUGAAAGGACCAGGCCCCCACACAGUGCACAUGCCUUCUCAUACACAUUAAAAAAAAAUGUAAAAACUCAAAAACACAAUCCCUACUUCUUCCAACCUUUAUUGUUGUGUUCACUCUUUCAUGCUUACUUCCUGUGAUUAGUACACCAGAAUGGAAAACUAGAUGGGGAGACUGGGCAUGGUGGGAGACUUGUAGUCCCCGUGGCAAAAAGAUUACUGUCAAGUUAGACUAGCCGAGACCAAAUCUACAAAACUGCCAACACCAACUCCACCCGGUCUGUCGGGAACUAGGGCAGAGCCUGGGCAUCUUUCAAAACUACUAUGAGUACCACAAUCCUAGAAGCAUGCACCUGAUCAAGGUCUGGCACUCAAGGAUAACACAGUCAACACCACCACGCUGUGCACUGUAGGCGUGGCUCAACACUGAUGACUAGACCAGUGACCUUUAGUUCCACUUCUUCCAAACUCAGGAAAACGCCCAUCAGCCCUAGAGCUAUGUGUGCUACUCAGUUCUGAUCUGAAAUGCUGAGUCCCCUCAACAACCAUCACUACUGAUUGCUUUCUGUCCUCCCACCAUGCUGUGUGUUCUCUACUGCCUUCAACCUUACCUGCUGGAUAAAACCUGCUACUCACAGACAACCAGUACUCUACCAAAACACACCUAUCUGCCAUCACAUGAUGACAACUGUGGGAAACUUGGGUUUCAGAGGCUUCGUCCCUAGUCUCCUUUCCAUCAACUUUACAAAGCUACCAGGCGCAGACUUACAUAGUGUCUCACUAGAGACACUGCUAAAGCAGCCAGCCGUCCGUGAAAUCUUUUACACAAGAAAAUAGAAUUCCUGUACAAAGGCCCUAAGAGACGCAGGUGCACCUGUCUAAAGUUUAGUGAGUUCCUUCAAAGUCAGCUCCUUGCAGGUAUAAGAAGAUUAAAAAUAAUAAUAAUAAAAUAUACUUAUUUCAAGUCCAAAGUUUCAUUAGAAAUGAUUAAACACAGGAUCUAAGUUAUAUAAAACACAAAGUUUUAACAAUCUUAUUUAGACCAAGUAGGCUUCAAUACGCAUUAGUACAGAUCACACAUUGAAAGUACACUAAAAGUAACAUAACAGUAUUCUCACUAUCAAGAACCAGAAGUUAUAAAACAUUCUGAAACGGACUGACUACACAAAAAUAAACAUGUUUCCCUUUAUGAGACUGUGGCUAUUAACACUCAUCAAUAGUCCCCUGGAUGAAAUACCAGGUUCUUUGUUAAGACACUGAACACUGAUAUCCAAAUACCCGAAAGUAUGUUUUAGCUACUCAUCUUGCUAACAGUUGUACAAUUUAAACUGACAUGCAGCUAAUAUUAGGCAUUACAUUUCUGUUGACUGACAGUCUCAGUCAUCCCCUUAAACAGCCACAUCUUACCCCUUAAACAGCCACAUCUUAAUUCAUUCUGCUCUAUUCAGAUUUGAGUAAAACAAAAUUUCUUCUUUAUGUCCAUUAUUUCUGCAGGCAUAAGCCCACUCUCACAUGCUGGACUUUGUAGAGAUCAGAUGAUUAACCUGUGCAUGUUUAGAAAAAUUUGUUUCCUCCUGGAUAUUAAAAUGAUUAUUUGUCUAAAAAUAUCUCAUGAGGGUCAUACACACAUGGGUAGUCGACAUCUGAAUCCCUUGGCUACCUGCCUGUUGACUCAAUCUCAAACCUAAAUUAGCUGGUUAGCAUAAAACCAAACACUUAAGUCCAAAGCAGUUCUAACUCACAGCCUUCACUACAGUAGUCUGUUUUGUGAUAGGCACUUGCUAAAAUGUUGUACUUUUUGUUUUUGCCUACUGGAAUUUUAAGAAAAUGGGUAAUUGUGAAAUCAGGCAACCCAGUAGCAAAAUCGUGUAGCAAUUUAAAACUGGAAGCUUUCAAAGUUACACAUGACUUAUUGCAUAAUCCAAAAACCUCGAUUAAGCUUCACUCAAGAGAAAUAAAAAAAAUGUCCACAUAAAGACCCAUAAAUCCAUGACAUUAUUCAUAGAAAUCCAAAUAUAUUUAACUGGCAAACAUAAGUACGAUAUGUAACGAGUAAUGGAUAAACACUGAUAAAUAUAUUUAAACUGGCCUAAUUCCACUUCUGAUCCUGUUAAAAAGGCAAAACUAAAAACAGAAAAAUGCAAUGGUUGAUGAGAACAAAGGGAACAGUAAUUUCAAGGGGCAAUGAAAAAAUGCUGGGUAAUAUGAUUACUACUGUGGAUCUGCCUAACUUUACAAAACUAUGUACCCAAGACAAAUUCUUAUAUGCAACCUACACUUCAAUAAA